CUCAGCUCCUCCUCUUCCUGUUAUCAGCCGGCACAGCUGUUAUCAGCCGGCACAGCAGCAGCACUAACAUUGGUGCAAGCCGAUCCGCCCACCACCUGAUUCCUGUCUGAGGAGGUAGCUCAGCCGGCAAUCCCAUGACACGCAGCAGCGUUGUGGUGAGCCGCAAGCGGCGGGUCGCCAUGACAACAGGUGACGCGAUCACCGGAAGUGACGCGAUCACCGGAAGUGACCCGCCGGCUUCAGUUCCGGAAGCAGGAUCGCGUGGAGGGGACGCGGUGGCAAGCACCCUGGUGGGUAUUUAAGUGGACUUUCCUCAAGGACAGUCAGCGUGUCUCAUUUCUACCUUUGACCCAGCCUAACAUAGAUUGUACUUUUUAAUUUAUUCUUCAAGUUCCACACUGAGGUCAAGUUUAGGAAGUGUUUAUUAAAUGUAAAUGAUUUCUAUGCAUAUUCUUUGCUUAAAAUACCAUAAGC